GGCUUGUUUUUCCUUCUGAGGUUAGCGGCCUUUUAAUCCGCUGGUCGCUGGUUCGAUUCCAGCACGGCCCACCA
rnacentral:tRNA from 1 species